rnacentral:lncRNA from 1 species
GUCCUAAAAAUAAAUGGGAUAUGGGAUAUUGAUGCAUUUUUAGGGAUAUUGAAUUUUGCAAAUAAAAAAAAAUAUGUGGAAAUGAAAAGUUAAGUACAGAAAUAUUUACAUCUCACUUGAUCAUGUUGAUAAAAUUGCCAAAAAUAAUUUACUAGAAAAGGUCAUUUCAGGACUUUGUUGAUUUUCAUUGAGUUGUGUUAUUAUAAAACACACAUGCAACCACGCAUCCCAUAUUGCAUGAUAGGACCCAACACUAUUGAUCACUAUUUUAGUGUUUCGGUAGUUAAAGCUUAGGGUUAGAGGCUCUGACUUGGGAUGGUCAUUUUAGAUGCAUUAUUUUAAUAAAAUCAAAUAUGAAAAAUAUUCAUGUAUAUAUUGAUAUAUUUAUAUUUUAAUUCUUCAUCAAUAGAUCUAGGGGUCCAACUGUCAAUUUUAUGUUAAAGUCUUUAACUUUGAUCCACUAUGCAUAUCUCGAACACUUUUAUGUUUGCUAUACGCAAUUAUUGGUGCAGCAUUUAAUAUUUUUGUACACAAUCUUCGUCAAACUGUAAUAAAUGCC